ensembl:snRNA U2 U2 spliceosomal RNA
AUCGCUUCUCGGCCUUUUGGCUAAGAUCAAGUGUAGUAUCUGUUCUUAUCAGUUUAAUAUCUGAUACGUCCUCUAUCUGAGGACAAUAUAUUAAAUGGAUUUUUGAACGUGGGAGAUGGAAUAGGAGCUUGCUCCGUCCACUCCACGCAUCGACCCAGUAUUGCAGUACUUCUGGGAACGGUGCACUUCCC